rnacentral:rRNA from 1 species
CAACGAGCGCAACCCUUAUCCUUUGUUGCCAGCGGUCCGGCCGGGAACUCAAAGGAGACUGCCAGUGAUAAACUGGAGGAAGGUGGGGAUGACGUCAAGUCAUCAUGGCCCUUACGACCAGGGCUACACACGUGCUACAAUGGCGCAUACAAAGAGAAGCGACCUCGCGAGAGCAAGCGGACCUCAUAAAGUGCGUCGUAGUCCGGAUUGGAGUCUGCAACUCGACUCCAUGAAGUCGGAAUCGCUAGUAAUCGUGGAUCAGAAUGCCACGGUGAAUACGUUCCCGGGCCUUGUACACACCG